GACAGAGGUGCCGAGCGUUAGGCGGAAUCACUGGGCUUAAAGCGUGUGUAGGCGGCGGCGUAAGUACCUUGUGAAAUCCCACGCUCAACCGUGGAACUGCUCGGUAUACUGCAUCGCUUGAGCCAGCUAGGGGCGACCGGAACAAACGGUGGAGCGGUGAAAUGCGUAGAUAUCGUUUGGAACGCCGAUGGUGAAAACAGGUCGCUGGGGCUGUGCUGACGCUGAGACACGAAAGCCAGGGGAGCGAACGGG
rnacentral:rRNA from 1 species